rnacentral:ncRNA from 2 species
AUCUAUCUUCGGGGCAGGGUGAAAUUCCCGAUCGGCGGUGAUGAGAGUAUCUCUCUAAGCCCGCGAGCCUUAUUUUGGGGCAGGAUUUGGUGCGAUUCCAAAGCCGACAGUAUAGUCUGGAUGGGAGAAGAUGGAG